GAUGAAGAACGUAGCGAAAUGCGAUAAGUAAUGUGAAUUGCAGAAUUCCGUGAAUCAUCGAAUCUUUGAACGCACAUUGCGCCCCCUGGUAUUCCGGGGGGCAUGCCUGUCCGAGCGUCAUUGCAACUUUCAAGCGCGGCUUGUGUGUUGGGUCUCGUCCCCCGUGGACGGGCCCGAAAGGCAGUGGCGGCGUCCCGACAUGGUGCCCGAGCGUAUGGGAAUCCUCUUCCGCUCGAAUCGGCCCAUGCGGCGCUGGUCGUAACCAAAUUUUUUACCGGUUGACCUCGGAUCAGGUAGGGAUACCCGCUGAACUUAAGCAUAUCAAUAAGCGGAGGA
rnacentral:misc_RNA from 1 species